rnacentral:miRNA from 1 species
UUUGUAUUUCAGAGAUGGAGGG